CGUUCCCUACGGGGCGCAGCAGUGGGGAAUAUUGCACAAUGGGGGAAACCCUGAUGCAGCGACGCCGCGUGAAGGAUGGAGUAUUUCGGUAUGUAAACUUCUAUCAGCAGGGAAGAAAAUGACGGUACCUGACUAAGAAGCCCCGGCUAACUACGUGCCAGCAGCCGCGGUAAUACGUAGGGGGCAAGCGUUAUCCGGAUUUACUGGGUGUAAAGGGAGCGUAGACGGUAUGGCAAGUCUGAUGUGAAAACCCGGGGCUCAACCCCGGGACUGCAUUGGAAACUGUCGGAC
rnacentral:rRNA from 1 species